AUGAGAUGUGGACUGAACUGGAUUUUUAUUUUGUCCAUUUUCCAAGGUGUCCAUUGUGAUAUUCAGCUGGUGGAGUCUGGGGGAGAUGUGAGACAGCCUGGAGGAUCCUUGAAAGUCUCCUGCAAAGCUUCUGGAUUCACCUUCAGUAGCCAUUGGAUGAGCUGGAUCUGCCAGGCUCCAGGAAAAGGGCUGGAGUGGGUCUCACAUAUUGAUACUAGUGGAAGUAGCACAAACUAUGCAGACUCUGUGAAAAGCCGAUUCACCAUCUCCAGGGACAAUGGCAACAGCCUGCUGCACCUGCAAAUGAAUACCCUGAAAGCUGAGGACACAGCCAUGUAUUACUGUGCAGGAGACACAAACAUAUAUCUAUAUGAUUUGGUAUGGUAUGUUUAUGGAAGAGUUUUGAAAAAACGCUGCGACUCUGCCAUCUUGGACUCUUGUAUAUGUCAAAGGCGAGAUUCAGUUAGUGGAGUCUGGGGGAGAAGUAAGACAGUCUGGGACAUCUCUGCACCUCUCCUGUAA